rnacentral:rRNA from 2 species
GCUUACCAUGCAGUCGAACGAUGAUAGCCCAGCUUGCUGGGUGGAUUAGUGGCGAACGGGUGAGUAACACGUGAGUAACCUGCCCUUAACUCUGGGAUAAGCCUGGGAAACUGGGUCUAAUACCGGAUAGGAGCGUCCACCGCAUGGUGGGUGUUGGAAAGAUUUAUCGGUUUUGGAUGGACUCGCGGCCUAUCAGCUUGUUGGUGAGGUAAUGGCUCACCAAGGCGACGACGGGUAGCCGGCCUGAGAGGGUGACCGGCCACACUGGGACUGAGACACGGCCCAGACUCCUACGGGAGGCAGCAGUGGGGAAUAUUGCACAAUGGGCGCAAGCCUGAUGCAGCGACGCCGCGUGAGGGAUGACGGCCUUCGGGUUGUAAACCUCUUUCAGUAGGGAAGAAGCGAAAGUGACGGUACCUGCAGAAGAAGCACCGGCUAACUACGUGCCAGCAGCCGCGGUAAUACGUAGGGUGCGAGCGUUAUCCGGAAUUAUUGGGCGUAAAGAGCUCGUAGGCGGUUUGUCGCGUCUGUCGUGAAAGUCCGGGGCUUAACCCCGGAUCUGCGGUGGGUACGGGCAGACUAGAGUGCAGUAGGGGAGACUGGAAUUCCUGGUGUAGCGGUGGAAUGCGCAGAUAUCAGGAGGAACACCGAUGGCGAAGGCAGGUCUCUGGGCUGUAACUGACGCUGAGGAGCGAAAGCAUGGGGAGCGAACAGGAUUAGAUACCCUGGUAGUCCAUGCCGUAAACGUUGGGCACUAGGUGUGGGGACCAUUCCACGGUUUCCGCGCCGCAGCUAACGCAUUAAGUGCCCCGCCUGGGGAGUACGGCCGCAAGGCUAAAACUCAAAGGAAUUGACGGGGGCCCGCACAAGCGGCGGAGCAUGCGGAUUAAUUCGAUGCAACGCGAAGAACCUUACCAAGGCUUGACAUGUUCUCGAUCGCCGUAGAGAUACGGUUUCCCCUUUGGGGCGGGUUCACAGGUGGUGCAUGGGUUGUCGUCAGCUCGUGUCGUGAGAUGUUGGGGUUAAGUCCCGCAA